CACUCUGAAGGCGGACCACACUCUCCUGCGUGUUCUGAGUUCUGAUGUGCUUGUUAAAAGUUCAUUCACAGGACUUUAUCAUCACACACUCCAUUGUAGAAAGCCCAGAAUCAAGCUUCAGAAUCCUGUUCUAAAUCUUUUUUGCUGGACUUCACAGAGAUCUAGAAGAGUUAGAUGGCUUCUGAAGUCUCACAGCUAGGUGUUGGCUGAGCUGGUGCCAGAAUCCAGUUUUUCUGAUGGCAAUCGAAAAAGGCUUUGCCCCCAAACCAUGAUGGUGGGUUAGAGUCUAUUUCCUUAGUGUCUAAACAUGACGAGGGAAUUUUCUUUCUGAGGCCAAUAAAAAAAAAAAAAAUGCCUGUUUAAAGAUGGAAGAUUGCUACCUACCUAUUUUUGAUUCAUUACUAUAUUAACUUUAAAAGAUUAUAAGAAGUAAAUCAGAAUAAUUCACCCAUAAUAACACUACCUAGUGGUUUUAUCUUCAUGUCUUCGGGUUUCCUUCUAGUCUAUCCAAAACACAUCAUUUUGUGUACUUACAAUUAUGGGACAAAUAAACAAUUUGUGCUCUGUAUUUCUCCACUUAUUUUAUAAAUCCUUUUCCUUGGUAAUCAUAUGUUUAUCAUAUUUUGGUGGCAGCAUAAUAAUCCCAUGUUGCCCGAUUACCCAACUUGAGUCAUAAUUGUACAGAGACCUCUCCUGUUGGGACAGUGUCAUUGUGUGAUACUGUGCAUCGGGAAGAGUUCCUCCUGCUCCCACUAGAACUGCUCUGGUCUGUAAUGUGCUGCUCCUGUCAGUCCUCAGACAUGGAGCCCUUCUUUGGUGUAGAGUCUGGAGCAAGACAGGCAGGUUUGGGGUGCACUACACACUCCCAAGUCUUAGCCCAAAGGUAGAAACUGUUGGUGUUGCCCUUACAUUUUGGCAUGCAAAUGUGACACCAGUGGGUGCUCAAGCUUCUAGCUCCAGGUUGGCAAAUAUGAGUGUUCUUAGCAGAGAAUGCAAGUGGUUAGAGGUUGAUGCCGGAAAGCUUUGAUCCCUAAAGUGGAGAACACAGAGCAGUUACACAGGAGGUUAGCAUACAUGCUUGACAUGCAAGCAUUCUUACCAAAUAUGAUGGCACCAGUGGGAAUCAAGAUGACUUAAAUACUGCCUCUGCUUAUGACAAGCUCAUAGUCUAAGGGGGAAAUGAUAGCAGAAGGUUUUCAUAGAAGUGAUUUCAUUUCAUUCUUUUACCAAUGAUGGUUUUUGUUGCCUUUAUAGGUUAAAACACAAAAAACAAAGUGUGGUCAGGUAAAGAGAAUUGCUCUGGACCAUACAACUUGUAUAUAAUAAACCAAGCCUGCUAACUUUAUGCUCUUUCAAAAGCAAUUAGUUAUUUCUAAAUUUGAAAUUUCUGAGUCCAAGUAUCUGUAUAACACUUCAUCAUUUCAUAUACUCCCAUGGAAAGGCAAUCUUGAUUUUAAAAAUCAUCUAUUUUA